GGAUAACCUACCUAUAAGACUGGGAUAACUUCGGGAAACCGGAGCUAAUACCGGAUAAUAUUUUGAACCGCAUGGUUCAAAAGUGAAAGACGGUCUUGCUGUCACUUAUAGAUGGAUCCGCGCUGCAUUAGCUAGUUGGUAAGGUAACGGCUUACCAAGGCAACGAUGCAUAGCCGACCUGAGAGGGUGAUCGGCCACACUGGAACUGAGAAACGGUCCAG
rnacentral:rRNA from 1 species